rnacentral:rRNA from 1 species
UACGUAGGGGGCAAGCGUUGUCCGCAUUUAUUGGGCGUAAAGAGCGUGUAGGCGGUUAGAUAGGUCAGCUGUGAAAACUCGAGGCUCAACCUCGAGAUGUCGGCUGAAACCAUCUGGCUAGAGUCCGGAAGAGGAGAAUGGAAUUCCCGGUGUAGCGGUGAAAUGCGCAGAUAUCGGGAAGAACACCCGUGGCGAAGGCGGUUCUCUGGGACGGUACUGACGCUGAGACGCGAAAGCGUGGGGAGCGAACAGG